UACGGGGGUGCGAGCGUUGUCCGGAAUCACUGGGCGUAAGGCGCGUAGGUGGCCCGGUCAGUCCGUGGUGAAAGCGCGGGGCUCAACCCCGCGUCGGCCAUGGAUACUGCUGGGCUGGAGCACUGUAGAGGCAGGCGGAAUUCCGGGUGUAGCGGUGGAAUGCGUAGAUAUCUGGAGGAAUACCGGUGGCGAAGGCGGCGAUCCUGGACCAUUA
rnacentral:rRNA from 1 species